AACGAACGCUGGCGGCAGGCCUAACACAUGCAAGUCGAGCGGACCCUUCGGGGUUAGCGGCGGACGGGUGAGUAACGCGUGGGAAUAUGCCCUUCUCUACGGAAUAGUCCUGGGAAACUGGGGGUAAUACCGUAUACGCCCUUUGGGGGAAAGAUUUAUCGGGGAAGGAUUAGCCCGCGUUGGAUUAGGUAGUUGGUGGGGUAAUGGCCUACCAAGCCGACGAUCCAUAGCUGGUUUGAGAGGAUGAUCAGCCACACUGGGACUGAGACACGGCCCAGACCCCUCCGGGGGGCGGCAGGGGGGAAUUUUAGACAAGGGGGGGAACCCUGAACUACCCAUGCCGGGUGGGUUAUGAAGGCCUUGGGGUUGUAAAGCUCUUUCAGCGGGGAAGAUAAGAACGGAACCAGCAAAAGAAGCCCCGGCUAACUCCGG
rnacentral:rRNA from 1 species